rnacentral:rRNA from 1 species
AUAUUGGACAAUGGGCGCAAGCCUGAUCCAGCCACGCCGCGUGGGUGAUGAAGGCCUUCGGGUUGUAAAGCCCUGUCGGAGGGGACGAAGUCUUCGGAUUGACGGUACCUUCCAAGAAAGACACCGGCUAACUCCGUGCCAGCAGCCGCGGUAAUACGGAGGGUGCAAGCGUGCUCGGAAUUACUGGGCGUAAAGCGUACGCAGGCGGUCUGAUAAGUCGGGUGUGAAAGCCCCGGGCUCAACCCGGGAACUGCAUUCGAAACUGCCAGACUUGAGUUUUGGGAGAGGGGAAGUGGAAUUCCUGGUGUAGAGGUGAAAUUCGUUGAUAUCAGGAGGAACACCGGCGGCGAAAAGCGGCUUCCUGGCCCGAUACUGACGCUCAUGUACGAAAGCGUGGGGAGCAAAACAGGAUUAGAUACCCUGGUAGUCCACGCCGUAAACGAUGAGUGCUAGAUGUUGGAGGUAUUCACCCCUUCAGUGUCGAAGCUAACGCAUUAAAGCACUCCGCCUGGGGAGUACGGCCGCAAGGUUAAAACUC